GCAGCCUGGCCCCACCGCUCUAUCGAGCGAGCGUGCAAACCGUUGCUCCGAUCCCGCGGUUCCUCUCGUACUGGACGGGAUAGCCGUAGGCGAGUUGACGUUGCCGACGCCCGCCUAAGGUCGGCCGAGGAAGCAGACCUGGAGCAGCACUA